CUCUGGCCAGCACCUGGUAGAAUGACCUCGGUUCCCACGAGAUAGUAAGUUGUUGUCUGGUCUGACGUUCCAAAGCUCCUCCUCCCCCAAAGCUACAUGUUUAUAGUAACCAAAGAAUACAAAGUGUAAUAUGUGGCCAAGAUGUGACUAUCAUCUAGUGCUUCACUGCAUGGUACCUGUAGGAAUAUUUGCUCUUCUGAAAAUCUUAUGUUUCCUUGCCUUUUGGACCUCCCAAGCAGGAGCUAUUGUGGAGCUAUUACAGAUGAACUAAAGCAGGGCCUUCAAAUCCUUCAGAUUCUUGGUCAAAGGAAUGCUCCGUUCAACAAAAGAUUUUUUUAAAAAAUCCUAUCCAGUAUAUUAUGAAGGUUUCAGCCUUAAAAGGUACUAGGAUAUUGAUUUGCAAUUACAUCAUGAGUUGCCA